CGAAUCGGAUAAGUGUCUUCGGACACGAAACUCGUCUGCAAUCCCGGCAUCACCGCAUCGCGGUGUGGCGACUCUCUCAAACACUGCACAAUGAUGCAGCACUCUC
rnacentral:ncRNA from 1 species